AAGAUUACAAUGGACGGUGCUUAGCUCUUCAGGUCAUGUAGGCGAAGGAAUAUGUGCAGCAUAUCUUGUACUCUCUCGCCUCCAUGACCUGAAGAAUUAAGCAAAAACUACAGAAGAUAGAA
rnacentral:precursor_RNA from 12 species